rnacentral:rRNA from 1 species
CCCUUAGAUGUUCUGGGCCGCACGCGCGCUACACUGAUGCAUUCAACGAGUCUAAAACCUGCUCUGAUAGGGGUGGGUAAUCUUUUGAAUGUGCAUCGUGAUUGGGAUAGAUGAUUGCAAUUUUUCAUCUUCAACGAGGAAUGCCUAGUAAACGCAAGUCAUCAGCUCGCAUUGAUUACGUCCCUGCCCUUUGUACACACCGCCCGUCGCUCCUACCGAUUGAAUGAUCCGAUGAAUAUCAUGGAUUGAGGAUGCAAGCAGGUUCGCCUGUCUUCAUCUUCGAGAAGUGAAGUAAAUCUUAUCAUUUAGAGGAAGGAGAAGUCGUAACA